UAGAAUACUCUUUUCCAUUGUGUAAUGAGCUUAUCGAAUUUCUUCAGUGUUAUUAAAUAGAAAUAUUUGUGAUAACGGCAUAGAAUCAGCGAAAAAAAAAACUAUUUUACAACAUCAUUUCAUUGUGUUUAUUUAUAAUUCUAAAACAAACCCACAUUUAUAUAUCUAAAACAAAAAAUGAAUUCAUACGAAGCAAUCAGGCAGCCGCGGAUUUUUUUAAUCAUUUGGUUAAGUGUAACGUUUAACAUGAUUCUGGGUUUUGGUGAAGCGGAUAUUUCAACAGCCGUACAAGGAGCAAUGGUACAAUCAGCAUCACCACCUACUUUAGGUUGCCACAGGCGUUUGUAUACAUAUCGCAUAACACAAGCCGAUAAAAAUGGACGCAAAUGUUGGGAUGAUGUAAGCGUUUGGUCUUGUUGGGGUCGUUGUGAUUCACGUGAGAUUUCUGAUUGGAAAUUUCCAUAUAAAAAAUCAUAUCAUCCGGUUUGUGUGCAUGCGGGUCGUUCAAAAGCCGUGGCAACGCUACGUCAUUGUGAUUUUGGCGCCCAUCCAGAAACUACCCGUUAUGAAUACUUGGAAGCUAAUGGUUGUAAUUGCCAGACAUGUUCUACAUCAGAUACAAGUUGCGAGGCACCAAACAUUUUUCGUGAUGAAAGUUCGGUUAAAGUUCUAUCCAUGGCCGGCCUUAACUCAGACGAUUUAGAAUACUAAACAAUAAUUCGGCUUGUUCAUUUACAAAAGUAAAAUCGUCAAAAGUUCUGUGGUCGUUUAGAUUACUGUGUGUCCAGCUUUACUACAGAGAUUACAUCCGGGAAGAGCUUUGAAUGUAAACACAUUCAUUAUUCCUACA